AAUGUAAUAAAAAUUAUUGGUCGCGAAUAUUCAAUUUGGAAUGCGAUUUUGUUAAUAAAAAAAAUACUUAUAACUUAUGCAAAACCCAAGAGAGGCAUUAUUUAUAUUUAUUUCUUUUGCGUUCAUUUUCAAAUUCGCCGUGCAUAUAUUUUUGUGCAUGGCGCUUGAGAGGGCAUCACGUGACUAAAAACGACCAACCAACGACCUCGCUUCGGCCAUCUUGGCAUCUUCAUCUUGCCACCUUUGUAUUAUUUGUGCUUUUUAAGAAUAUUUUUUUAAUUCGGAUACUUUUAUAAUAGCUUUAAUAGUAUUAUUAACAUAGUGAAUAAAAUGGUGUCCUGUUUUUAACGCAGUUAGAGUAGCAGAAACAAAUGUAGAUAAAAAAAUCUGCAGGAAUAACGUUUAAAUUAUGACAGAAGUUCGAAACAAAUGACUGUGAAUUAGUGUGAAUGAAAAGCCCUAUUAAAAGCUUUCCAGAAGAUCCUGCGAAGAAGACAUGAACUAUAGAUCAGAUUUGUUAAUAGAGGAGUAUGUUCAAAA
rnacentral:lncRNA from 1 species